GGAGAGGUGGCAGAGUGGUUGAAUGCGGCGGUCUCGAAAACCGUUUCGGGGGUAACCCCUCCGACGAGGGUUCGAAUCCCUCCCUCUCCGCCA
rnacentral:tRNA from 1 species